AGCGAACGCUGGCGGCAGGCUUAACACAUGCAAGUCGAACGGGCGUAGCAAUACGUCAGUGGCAGACGGGUGAGUAACACGUGGGAACGUACCUCCUGGUUCGGAACAACACAGGGAAACUUGUGCUAAUACCGGAUAAGCCCUUACGGGGAAAGAUUUAUCGCCGAGAGAUCGGCCCGCGUCUGAUUAGCUAGUUGGUAGGGUAAUGGCCUACCAAGGCGACGAUCAGUAGCUGGUCUGAGAGGAUGAUCAGCCACAUUGGGACUGAGACACGGCCCAAACUCCUACGUGAGGCAGCAGUGGGGAAUAUUGGACAAUGGGGGCAACCCUGAUCCAGCCAUGCCGCGUGAGUGAUGAAGGCCCUAGGGUUGUAAAGCUCUUUUGUGCGGGAAGAUAAUGACGGUACCGCAAGAAUAAGCCCCGGCUAACUUCGUGCCAGCCGCCGCGGUAA
rnacentral:rRNA from 1 species